rnacentral:rRNA from 1 species
CGCGUAGGCGGUUUCGGAAGUCAUGGGUGAAAGUCCUCGGCUCAACCGAGGGAUUGCCUGUGAAACCACGGGACUGGAGUGCUGGAGAGGGAAGCGGAAUUCCCAGUGUAGCGGUGAAAUGCGUAGAUAUUGGGGAGGAACAUCUGUGGCGAAGGCGGCUUCCUGGACAGACACUGACGCUGAGGCGCGAAAGCCAGGGGAGCGAACG